UACGAAGGGGGCUAGCGUUGCUCGGAAUCACUGGGCGUAAAGCGCACGUAGGCGGCUUUUUAAGUCAGGGGUGAAAUCCUGGAGCUCAACUCCAGAACUGCCUUUGAUACUUAGAAGCUUGAGUCCGGGAGAGGUGAGAGGAACUGCGAGUGUAGAGGUGAAAUUCGUAGAUAUUCGCAAGAACACCAGUGGCGAAGGCGGCUCACUGGCCCGGUACUGACGCUGAGGUGCGAAAGCGUGGGGAGCAAACAGG
rnacentral:rRNA from 1 species